rnacentral:rRNA from 1 species
AGCGGACAGAUGGGAGCUUGCUCCCUGAUGUUAGCGGCGGACGGGUGAGUAACACGUGGGUAACCUGCCUGUAAGACUGGGAUAACUCCGGGAAACCGGGGCUAAUACCGGAUGCUUGUUUGAACCGCAUGGUUCAGACAUAAAAGGUGGCUUCGGCUACCACUUACAGAUGGACCCGCGGCGCAUUAGCUAGUUGGUGAGGUAACGGCUCACCAAGGCGACGAUGCGUAGCCGACCUGAGAGGGUGAUCGGCCACACUGGGACUGAGACACGGCCCAGACUCCUACGGGAGGCAGCAGUAGGGAAUCUUCCGCAAUGGACGAAAGUCUGACGGAGCAACGCCGCGUGAGUGAUGAAGGUUUUCGGAUCGUAAAGCUCUGUUGUUAGGGAAGAACAAGUGCCGUUCAAAUAGGGCGGCACCUUGACGGUACCUAACCAGAAAGCCACGGCUAACUACGUGCCAGCAGCCGCGGUAAUACGUAGGUGGCAAGCGUUGUCCGGAAUUAUUGGGCGUAAAGGGCUCGCAGGCGGUUUCUUAAGUCUGAUGUGAAAGCCCCCGGCUCAACCGGGGAGGGUCAUUGGAAACUGGGGAACUUGAGUGCAGAAGAGGAGAGUGGAAUUCCACGUGUAGCGGUGAAAUGCGUAGAGAUGUGGAGGAACACCAGUGGCGAAGGCGACUCUCUGGUCUGUAACUGACGCUGAGGAGCGAAAGCGUGGGGAGCGAACAGGAUUAGAUACCCUGGUAGUCCACGCCGUAAACGAUGAGUGCUAAGUGUU